rnacentral:rRNA from 1 species
UGAACGCUAGCUACAGGCUUAACACAUGACAGUCGAGGGCAGCAUGAUUCUAGCUUGCUAGAUUGAUGGCGACCGGCGCGACGGGUGAAGUAACGCGUAUACCCACCUUCCUAUAGUAGAGAUACGCCGGAGAAGUCGGAUUUAAUACUCUAUGUUGUUCAAUGCGGACAUCUAAGUUGAACCAAAGGUUUACCGCUAUAGGAUGGGGAUGCGUCUGAUUAGAUGGUAGGCGGGGUAACGCCCACCUAGUCGACGAUCAGUAGGGGUUCUGAGAGGAAGGUCCCCCACAUUGGAACUGAGACACGGUCCAAACUCCUACGGGAGGCAGCAGUGAGGAAUAUUGGUCAAUGGGCGAGAGCCUGAACCAGCCAAGUAGCGUGCAAGGAUGACGGCCCUAUGGGUUGUAAACUGCUUUUAUAUAGGGAUAAAGUGCACUACGUGUAGUGUUUUGUAGGUACUAUAUGAAUAAGGACCGGCUAAUUCCGUGCCAGCCGCUGC